rnacentral:rRNA from 1 species
UACGUAGGGUGCUAGCGUUGUCCGGAAUUAUUGGGCGUAAAGAGCUCGUAGGCGGCCUGUUGCGUCCGCUGUGAAAGCCCGCGGCUCAACCGCGGGCCUGCAGCCGAUACGGGCAGGCUAGAGUUCGGUAGGGGAGACUGGAAUUCCUGGUGUAGCGGUGAAAUGCGUAGAGAUCCGGAGGAACACCAACGGCGUAGGCAGCGCCCUAGACGAGACCUGACGCUCAGGCACGAAAGCGCGGGGAGCGAACAGG